rnacentral:rRNA from 1 species
GCAGCGAAGUGGGUGAUGUCAAGCUUCCAAGAAAAGCCCUAUACCCGUUAAGGCAUGAUGGCCUGUACCCGAAACCGACACAGGUGGGGUGGUAGAGAAUACCGAGGGGCGCGAGAUAACUCUCUCUAAGGAACUCGGCAAAAUGGCCCCGUAACUUCGGGAGAAGGGGUGCCACCGCAAGGUGGUCGCAGUGAAGAGGCCCAGGCGACUGUUUACCAAAAACACAGGUCUCCGCUAAGUCGCAAGACGAUGUAUGGGGGCUGACGCCUGCCCAGUGCCGGAAGGUUAAGGAAGCUGGUCAGCGCAAGCGAAGCUAGCGACUGAAGCCCCGGUGAACGGCGGCCGUAACUAUAACGGUCCUAAGGUAGCGAAAUUCCUUGUCGGGUAAGUUCCGACCCCACGAAAGGCGUAACGAUCUGGGCGCUGUCUCGGAGAGAGGCUCGGCGAAAUAGAAUUGUCUGUGAAGAUGCGGACUACGUGCACCCGGACAGAAAGACCCUAUGAAGCUUUACUGUAGCUUGGUAUUGUGCCCGGGCUCUGAAUGCGCAGGAUAGGUGGGAGGCUUUGAUCCAUUGCUUGUGGGUGAUGGUGAGCCAACGGUGAGAUACCACUCUUUCAGAGCUAGGGUUCUAACGGUCACCCGUUAUCCGGGGACCGGACAGUAUCAGGUGGGCAGUUUGACUGGGGCGUCGCCUCCUAAAAGGUAACGGAGGCGCGCAAAGGUUCCCUCAGGCUGGUUGGAAAUCAGCCGACGAGUGUAAAGGCAGAAGGGAGCUCGACUGUGAGACCUACAAGUCGAACAGGGACGAAAGUCGGCCUUAGUGAUCCGACGGUUCUGAGUGGAAGGGCCGUCGCUCAACGGAUAAAAGUUACUCUAGGAUAACAGGCUGAUCUCCCCCAAGAGUUCACAUCGACGGGGAGGUUUGGCACCUCGAUGUCGGCUCAUCGCAACCUGGGGCUGAAGUCGGUCCCAAGGGUUGGGCUGUUCGCCCAUUAAAGCGGUACGCGAGCUGGGUUCAGAACGUCGUGAGACAGUUCGGUCCAUAUCCGGUGCAUGCGCAGGAAUAUUGAGAGGAUUUCUCCCUAGUACGAGAGGACCGGGAGGAACGCACCUCUGGUGUGCCAGUUAUCGUGCCAACGGUAAACGCUGGGUAGCCAUGUGCGGAGAGGAUGACCGCUGAAAGCAUCUAAGUGGGAAGCCCACCUCAAGAUGAGUAUUCCCAUGGCGUUAGCCAGUAAGGUCACGGGCAGAACACCCGUUGAUAGGCUCUACGUGGAAGCCGGGCAACCGGUGAAGCGGAGGAGUACUAAUAGACCGAGGGCUUGAUC